GCUUGAAGAAAGACUCUACAAUUGAUAAAACUAAGUCAGACCGAACUGGAUCAUUUUCAAGUAAAAUAGGUAGCAAGGCAAAAAGACCGCCUCAAAGUCGCUGCCCUUGGGGCUCUGCCACUUGCUUUACAGGCUAGGAACGGACAAUGCCGGGAACCCGAGAGCGGCCGGCGCGGACGCCGAGGCAACUUUACUUGGGGCACCCACUACUCGCAAUCAACUCCCGGCCUCCUCUGCUCUCGCGCCUCUAGGGGCUCAAGCACUGCUCCGGGAGCGCGGAAUUUUGAGGAAGAGGGCAGAACUUCAGUAAGGAGACCUGUCUGGGAAACGGUUUCAGGACACGCGGUGGGGAAAGCGACUAGCCUCCGGCAGGGCAGGGCGGGGUGUCCUUACCUGCAGAACCACCGGCCACGAUCUGCCGAGAAGCCUCGCGCACUAAGCCGACUUCAGGCUUGGCGGACAUCUUCGCCAGGCGGGAGGACAAGGGAGUGGGCUGAAAUGCGUCAACAAGCUCGCAGCCUGCACAGCCUACUGCUCCAGAGAGCCCCGGCUGGGCUGGUCCUCAGGCGCGUUGGCUCCCUGUGGAGCAGCAAUCCGGCGACUGCUGGAAAGCGAGGGUUCGAGGCGCAGAUUCGUCGCGCGAUCUCCGGCGCGCCGGAACCUGUCCGCGGCGCUCGCUUGCAGAGGCGCCCUCGGCUCCGAAAAUGUCUCUGGAAAGAAGACCCGCGGAUGGGUUUGGGUUGGCUCACCGCAGCGGAUCAGACUUUGUCUCCUAGAUUGGCGCCCACGCCCUUCUCUAUCAGGAGCCUCCGGCAGUUUGUCAAACUAAACGCGUUGCCUGUGAUAACUCAAGUGAAGUGACCCAGGCCUGGAGCGCCAAGUGCAAAGCGGGGACGACACUUGCACCUCCUGGCAAGCCAGAGCACAGUGAGGUUCAAAAGAAGGGACAAGUGAAUAAAUUCCUCAUUUAGUUGUCCUAUAAUUGUGGUCUGUAGCAACUAAGUCAAAGCAAAUCUAAUUUACACUUAACCUUACAAUAGAGCUAAGGUAGUACUUUACCAAAAAUGGUUUUGAUUUAAGGUAAAAUCAUACCUCAUCAACUUGAGUUUUAUUUACCUAAGGACCAAAAGAAGAAAAAGCCUGGUUACAAAUAGUUUCUUCUAUACCCAGGUCAGUGGUUCUUAAAAGUGGUUUUAGUACCCACAGCAUCAGCAUAAUUUGUGAAUGUGUUAGGAAGUCAAAUGCGUGGGUCCCACCCCGACCUAAACUGAAUCAGAAUCUCUGGGGAUAGGGCCCAGAAACGAGUUCUCUGUUGAUUGUCAUGAACUUUAAAGGUUGUGAACCACUGACUUAAACAAUUGAGGAACAUUAAGGAACUUAACAGUGUAUUCUCUCAAUAAAAUGUUUGAUAAUUCUUACUAGCCCCUUAGGAUAGUUACCAAAACAAAACUACUAAUUUAUACUCUUUUAAAACUACAAGUUGCCUGUGUUAUGUAGGAGAGAUAUAAGAUUGUGAAAUUUUCCAGAAAUACGUGCCACACCCCUAACAGACAGGAGAUGAUAAGAGUAAAAGAGAGAAUUGGGAGGCUUUAGAAGCCCUAUUGUACUAUUUCUUAAAACACAUUAUUUAUUGCUAAAUAUAUUUAGUGUGAGCCAUGUAAAAAUUGCCAUUUUUGGAGGUCAAAAACCGUUGAAUAUCAGCAAUUUAGUAUGGUUCAAUUUAUGUGGUUUCUAAUCAAAUGUACAAAGUACAAUAAUUUGGUUUCAUACUUGAUUUUUUAUUUCUUAGGCUGAGUCAUUAAAAGUUGAUCAGUGAUAUAUGGCAAAAUUAUUUAAAGUGCUUGAGGAAUUGGGGAGACUUGCUGCUUAUGUGAUCAGAUAUACAAAAAUAAAGUUUUUCAUUUCAUAAAUAUUUGAUUAAAACUGC
rnacentral:antisense_RNA from 1 species